CGUCAACCAGCGGGAAAAGCAAAACCUCUACCGCGUCCAUUUUGAUCAGCGCAGGUCGAACCAUUGAAGUCUUUUGCCACAAGAUGGCAGCAGCUUAUCUUCUCUCCGGGAUGGCCAGACUCGAAUGAUGCUGAUGGAGGAGGAAGCUCUGUGAAGCUGAGAGGGGGAAGAACAUGGACACAGUAAACAGAGGGCAGGAGGCGAAAAGGAAUAACAGGCUCAGCAGAGGGGGAGGAGGCUGGCUGGCAGCAUUUACAAGGAUGCCCACAUAAAUGAUGUGGUCCUGAUGGCUUCAUCUGGCCAGGAUCUUCAGCUCUCGCUGGAUCGGUUCGCAGCCGAGUGUGAAGCGACUGGGAUGAGAAUCAGCACCUCCAAGUCCGAGUCCAUGGUUCUCGCCCGGAAAAGGGUGGAGUGCCAU